UACGGAGGGUGCGAACGUUAAUCGGAAUCACUGGGCGUAAAGCGCGCGUAGGCGGUUUGUUAAGUGGGAUGUGAAAUCCCCGGGCUUAACCUGGGAAUUGCAUUUCAAACUGGCCGACUAGAGUACGGUAGAGGGAGGUAGAAUUCCCUGUGUAGCGGUGAAAUGCGUAGAUAUAGGAAGGAAUACCAGUGGCGAAGGCGGCCUCCUGGAUCGAUACUGACGCUGAGGCGCGAAAGCGUGGGGAGCGAACAGG
rnacentral:rRNA from 1 species